rnacentral:rRNA from 1 species
UGUAGUCUCGCACAGAUGCAUAUCAAUAAGCGGAGGAAAAGAAACUAACAAGGAUUCCCCUAGUAACGGCGAGUGAAGCGGGAAGAGCUCAAAUUUGAAAUCUUAAAGGGUUUCCCUUUACGAAUUGUAGUUUAAAGAAGUGUUUUCUGUUGAGGUUUUGGUAAAAGUUCUUUGGAAUAGGACAUCAUAGAGGGUGAGAAUCCCGUAUUUGACCUUUACUUUCAACUUUGUGAUCCACUUUCAAAGAGUCGGAUUGUUUGGGAAUGCAGUCCAAAAUGGGUGGUAAAUUUCAUCUAAAGCUAAAUAUUGACGAGAGACCGAUAGCGAACAAGUACCGUGAGGGAAAGAUGAAAAGAACUUUGAAAAGAGAGUUAAACAGUACGUGAAAUUGUCAAAAGGGAAGCGUUUGACACCAGUGUUGCUUUUCUGAAAAUCAAUUAAAGAACUGUUUAUGCUAAGUUGUUUAGACUUUAUCAGCUAAUCUGCUUCAGUUUUGAGCUUUUCUUUAAUGCACUUUUCAGUUAACAAGUCAACAUCAAUUUCUUUUGCUGUAAAAAAGCUUGAGGAAGGUGGCUUGAGAUUCGUCUUAAGUGCUUAUAGCCUCUUGCCUAUGCAGUCGGAGAGAUUGAGGUCUGCAGCGUAGAUCCUUCGGGGCUAAAUGCAUUUGUGCUAAGUUAUAGCAUUUUAUAGACAACUUGUUGACUAUGAUUUGUCUUGUAGCUUACUCGCUUAUGUUAUUUUACCUACGCUUAGGAUGUUGACGCAUGAGAUAUACGC